rnacentral:tRNA from 3 species
GGCUGGGUAGCUCAGUUGGUUAGAGCGUUCGGCUCAUACCCGAAAGGUUCGAGAGUUCGAAUCUCUCCCCAGCUA